rnacentral:rRNA from 1 species
GGUUAAUUCGAUGAUACGCGAGGAACCUUACCUGGGCUCAAAUGUAUGUUGACGUAUUCUGAAAGGGAUACUUCUUCGGACAAUAUACAAGGUGCUGCAUGGUUGUCGUCAGCUCGUGCCGUGAGGUGUCGGGUUAAGUCCCAUAACGAGCGCAACCCUAUCAUUAGUUGCCAUCAGGUUAAGCUGGGGACUCUAAAGGAACUGCCUACGCAAGUAGUGAGGAAGGCGGGGAUGACGUCAAAUCAGCACGGCCCUUACGUCCAGGGCUACACACGUGCUACAAUGGCCGAUACAGAGGGCAGCUACCUGGUGACAGGAUGCAAAUCUCCAAAGUCGGUCUCAGUUCGGAUCGGAGUCUGCAACCCGACUCCGUGAAGUUGGAUUCGCUAGUAAUCGCGCAUCAGCCAUGGCGCGGUGAAUACGUUCCCGGGCCUU